rnacentral:lncRNA from 1 species
AUUCUUACACAUGUGUUCAUGUCUGACUCCUUUAUCAUUCUCUCCAAAGGUCUUGCCCAGAUAAUGGGAGCCUUGGGUUUGAAUCAGUUCUUCAUUGAUGUUUGAUGUGAACAUAAUUUAUAUGUUCAAAGGCUUGGCAGGAGCAUAUCCAACAGCACUACCCGUCUCUUGGGUACCUCUCAGGAAAUCACUAUCAGCCCCAAGAACUCCUACUAGAAGGAAAUUAAAAUCAAAAUUACAAAGUUUAUGGGACUGUUAAUUUCUCUCUGCUGGAUUGUGUUUCUGCUAGUAAAUAUGUUUUUCCUGUAUAUGUAUAUACCAAAAUGAAUAGCAAAUAUAAGACACAAAGCAAGGUUAUGAAUUCUCUCUGUAAGUAGGCACAAAAUAAUAGAUUCAGUGGACAAAGCAUUUGGGUGUUCCCUGAAGUCUUACUUUCUGUGCUCAUUGCAUGUUCCAGCACCUUCAUGAUUGUUAUGGUUUAAGAACACAAAAAGAAGGUUCAAGUGAUCCUCAGCAUAUAUGAUUUCAAAAGAAUGUCCCCUGAAAACAAAGCCACACAGACAAUAAUAACUGGUCUUCAUUUACACCUUUCUAGCUUUUUGUACUCUCUCUCUCUUCCAUUUUACAGAUUAUAUUUCUCUUUCACUUAACCCCACUUGGCAGAUAAUGAAUAUUGCAUCUAUCAUUUCUAUGUGUUUUCCUACUUUAGGUACAUUUGUGCUAAGUCAUUAUCCCACUUUUUCCAGAUUUUGC